rnacentral:rRNA from 1 species
GGCGGAGCAUGUGGCUUAAUUUGAUGCAACGCGAAGAACCUUACCUGGGCUUGACAUGCGGGGUGAAGCCGUGGAAACACGGUCCUCUACGGAGCCCGCACAGGUGGUGCAUGGCUGUCGUCAGCUCGUGCCGUGAGGUGUUGCCUUAAGUGGCGCAACGAGCGCAACCCCUGUCCCUAGUUGCCAGCGGGUCAUGCCGGGAACUCUAGGGAGACUGCCGGUGCCAAACCGGAGGAAGGUGGGGAUGACGUCAAGUCAUCAUGCCCCUUAAGUCCAGGGCUGCACACAUGCUACAAUGCGCGGUACAGAGGGCUGCGAUCCCGCAAGGGGGAGCGAAU